rnacentral:rRNA from 1 species
UACGGGAGGCAGCAGUGGGGAAUAUUGCACAAUGGGCGCAAGCCUGAUGCAGCCAUGCCGCGUGUAUGAAAAAGGCCUUCGGGUUGUAAAGUACUUUUCAGUCGUGAGGAAGGUGUUAAGGUUAAUAACCUUAGCAAUUGACGUUAGCGACAGAAGAAGCACCGGCUAACUCCGUGCCAGCAGCCGCGGUAAUACGGAGGGUGCGAGCGUUAAUCGGAAUUACUGGGCGUAAAGGGCACGCAGGCGGUUAAUUAAGUUGGAUGUGAAAUCCCCGGGCUUAACCUGGGAAUGGCAUUCAAGACUGGUUAGCUAGAGUCUUGUAGAGGGGGUAGAAUUCCAUGUGUAGCGGUGAAAUGCGUAGAGAUGUGGAGGAAUACCGGUGGCGAAGGCGGCCCCUGGGACAAAGGACUGACGCUCAUGUGCGAAAGCGUGGGGAGCAAACAGGGAUUAGAUACC